GUAAGGAGGGAAAAAUAGAAGUUGGUGUUUUAUUUCACUGAUUGUGCGCUAUUUUGUACGUUUAACACUAAACGCGUUAUUUCACGUUUUAUUGGGCAUUUUGCGUCAAGGUGAUCUCCAACCUCGCUUAAGUGGCGAAAGUUAACUAGAAGAUCAGAAGAAACGAACCGACUUUCUGAGGAAAAGAUUUCUGCAUACCAGCACUUUCAAUACAUGCGGCAUCCAAGAGGUAAUAGGAAUUGUAACACCCUGAGUUAAAUGCGUCUGUAUUCUUUUGAAAUUCGUUGAAAUCGAUACUAAACAAGAAAAAAAGAACAGCUUGAAAAACAAAAGCUCGACGUCAAGUUCAAGGAAACUUCUUUCAGCAAAUCGGGAUAGAAUUGUUUUCCUAGGGGAACGUACCCAUUACCGGCAUUUGAUGUUUUAAAGAGAUUUGUUUUUUUCCCUAAGAAGCCAACUCUUGUCCUCUACCCGUGACACCAGGUAAGAAAAAGAAAUUCGCUUGUGAAGAAAACUGAGCUGAAUGCGUUUAUUUCGUUGAAAAAAUUCUAUUGGAUAUUUGAGAAGGAAUGUAA